ACCACUUCCUUAUAGGUACACUGUAAAGGGGUUAACAUGAAUUUGACAUUAGCGAACAGGCAGCUCGGUGGCAAGUAAAAUUCUAUAUUUCAUAUUACAGUACACCGAUCAUAAUAUAAACACGGUAUCAAAGUAAGUACUGUGUAAUGACACACAGUACUUCACCAGAGACAGUUUUCUCCACUAAGCAACGAGUCGGAGUCAGAGCCGGAGCCUCUUCAGGUCUCUCCUCCAUCCAUUACGGGGUCUGAGCCUUCUCAGGUCUCUCCUCCACCCAUUACGGGGUCAGAGCCUUCUCAGGUCUCUCCUCCACCCAUUACGGGGUCAGAGCCUCUUCAGGUCUCUCCUCCACCCAUUACGGGGUCAGAGCCUCUUCAGGUCUCUCCUCCACCCAUUACGGGAUCUGAGCCUUCUCAGGUCUCUCCUCCAGCCUUCUCAGGUCUCUCCUCCAGCCUCUUCAGGUCUCUCCUCCACCCAUUAUGGGGUCUGAGCCUUCUCAGGUCUCUCCUCCAGCCUUCUCAGGUCUCUCCUCCAUCCAUUACGGGGUCUGAGCCUUCUCAGUUCUCUCCUCCACCCGUUACGGGGUCAGAGCCAUCGAAGCCUCCCAUCAUUAGUUCUGACAAAUUGAAAACCCAGCGUAAUCUGAAGAUGGUGUUGGAUGAGGCUAAAACUGGCAAGUGUAGAUGGUAUAGGGAUAUUGUUAUCCACAUCGACACCAGCAAUCUUAGGAUGAAUCAGUCAAAGGUCACCAAGCGCAACAUAACUUCAGCGUGUAACUUAACUAGAAAGAUUUGUCGGCAUUGAGUAAUUGUCUCUGGCCCGCUGAGGAGUGACGGACUCCAUCCUAGCUGGAGGGGUGCUCUCAUCUCAUCUAUCAACAUAGAUAGGGCUCUAACUCCUCUAGCUCCACAAUAAGAUAGGGUGCAGGCCAGGCAGCAGGCUGUUAUCCAGCCUGCCAGCUUAGUGGAGUCUGCCACUAGCACAGUCAGUGUAGUCAGCUCAGCUAUCCCCAUUGAGACCGUAUCUGGGCCUCGAUCUAGGUUGGGCAAAACUAAACAUGGCGGUGUUUGCCUUAGCAAUCUCAAUGGAAUAAAGACCUCAUCCAUUCCUGUCAUUAUUGAAAGAGAUUGUGAUAUCUCACAUCUCAAAAUAGGACUACUUAAUGUUAGAUCCCUCACUUCCCAGGCAGUUAUAGUUAAUGAACUAAUCACUGAUCAUAAUCUUGAUGUGAUUGGCCUGACUGAAACAUGGCUUAAGCCUGAUGAAUUUACUGUGUUAAAUGAGGUCACUCCACCUGCUUACACUAGUGACCAUAUCCCCAGCGCAUCCUGCAAAGGCUAACAUUUACGACAGCAAAUUUCAAUUUACAAAAGAAAAAGACAGUGUUUUUGUCCUUUUGAGCUUUUAGUCAUGAAAUCUAUGCAACUCAAUCACUUUAUAUAUAUAAAGUGCAUCCCAUACAGUGGGGCAAAAAAGUAUUUAGUCAGCCACCAAUUGUGCAAGUUCUCCCACUUAAAAAAGAUGAGGGAGGCCUGUAAUUGCUCCCACAGUUGAUUUCUUCAAACCAAGCUGCUUACCUAUUGCAGAUUCAGUCUUCCCAGCCUGGUGCAGGUCUACCAUUUUGUUUCUGGUGUCCUUUGACAGCUCUUUGGUCUUGGCCAUAGUGGAGUUUGGCGUGGGACUGUUUGAGGUUGUGGACAGGUGUCUUUUAUACUGAUAACAAGUUCAAACAGGUGCCAUUAAUACAGGUAACGAGUGGAGGACAGAGGAGCCUCUUAAAGAAGAAGUUACAGGUCUGUGAGAGCCAGAAAUCUUGCUUGUUUGUAUGUGACCAAAUACUUAUUUUCCACCAUAAUUUGCAAAUAAAUUCAUUAAAAAUCCUACAAUGUGAUUUUCUGGAUUCUUUCCCCUCAUUUUGUCAGUCAUAGUUGAAGUGUACCUAUGAUGAAAAUUACAGGCCUCUCUCAUAUUUUUAAGUGGGAGAACUUGCACAAUUAGUGGCUGACUAAAUACUUUUUUGCCCCACUGUAUCUACAACGCAAAAUCCAUGUAUACGUAUGCUAUCUUUUGUAUGUAUGCAUGUGUCUGUGCCUAUGUUUGUGUUGCUUCCAAGUCCCUGCUGUUCCAUAAGGUGUAUUUUUAUCUGUUUUUAA
ensembl:lncRNA